rnacentral:rRNA from 1 species
GAAGGUAGCGUAAUCACUUGUUCUUUAAAUGAGGACUAGUAUGAAUGGCACCACGAGGGUUAAGCUGUCUCCUUUUUUUGAUCAGUGAAACUAAUCUCCCCGUGAAAAAGCGGGGAUUUAAUUAUAAGACGAGAAGACCCUAUGGAGCUUUAAACAAACUAACAUACGCUAUUUUCCUUCUACCUUCAGAGUAAUAAUAAAAAAUAUAGCAACCUGAUUAGAAGUUUUCGAUUGGGGUGAUCACGGAGUAAAAAACAACCUCCACGCCGAACGGAUUAAACUCCUGAACAAAAAGCUACAGCUUUAUGUACUAAUACAUUAACGCCUUUGACCCAUUUUUUGAUCAACGAACCAAGUUACCCUAGGGAUAACAGCGCAAUCUACUUUGAGAGCCCCUAUCGACAAGUGGGUUUACGACCUCGAUGUUGGAUCAGGGUAUCC